UGCCCCGUAGUUCAAUGGUAGAAUGCCGCACUGUUAAUGCGUAGGUUGUUGGUUCGAGUCCAACCGGGGCAG
rnacentral:tRNA from 1 species